UCAAACUUGAGAGUUUGAUCCUGGCUCAGAACGAACGCUGGCGGCAUGCCUAACACAUGCAAGUCGAACGAAGGCUUCGGCCUUAGUGCCGCACGGGUGCGUAACGCGUGGGAAUCUGCCCUUAGGUUCGGAAUAACAGCUGGAAACGGCUGCUAAUACCGGAUGAUAUCGCGAGAUCAAAGAUUUAUCGCCUGAGGAUGAGCCCGCGUUGGAUUAGGUAGUUGGUGGGGUAAUGGCCUACCAAGCCGACGAUCCAUAGCUGGUCUGAGAGGAUGAUCAGCCACACUGGGACUGAGACACGGCCCAGACUCCUACGGGAGGCAGCAGUGGGGAAUAUUGGACAAUGGGCGAAAGCCUGAUCCAGCAAUGCCGCGUGAGUGAUGAAGGCCCUAGGGUUGUAAAGCUCUUUUACCCGGGAAGAUAAUGACUGUACCGGGAGAAUAAGCCCCGGCUAACUCCGUGCCAGCAGCCGCGGUAAUACGGAGGGGGCUAGCGUUGUUCGGAAUUACUGGGCGUAAAGCGCACGUAGGCGGCUUUGUAAGUCAGAGGUGAAAGCCUGGAGCUCAACUCCAGAACUGCCUUUGAGACUGCAUCGCUUGAAUCCAGGAGAGGUCAGUGGAAUUCCGAGUGUAGAGGUGAA
rnacentral:rRNA from 1 species